rnacentral:lncRNA from 1 species
GGAAUGUUUCCCGGGGCAACCUGUGGUCCGAAACCAUCACCACCCAUAUUUGGGAUAAGAAUAAGUGUGAGCUCCUUUUGAGGUGUUUUGGAUCAGCAGAAAGUGGUCAUCAUAUGCAAGCAUAUUGCAUACCAAAUGCCAGUCAUCUGUCUCUUUGUGCUCUGGAGAACUUGGGACACUUCCCUAGGGCUCCAGAUAAUAGGCAAGCAGUAAGAUAAAAGCAUAAAAACAUGGUAUCUCUUUGGGAAAGGCUCUCUGUCCUUUGCAAGGGGCAGUGGUUCCUGGCACGCAAACUUUCUUCACAAAGAAAGGUCUGCUCAACUCCUCCUAGAAUACCAAUGCAUGUAUGUCACAGUUAGAUACUGUUCUCAAGCAUACGUCCCUGUCCUCGGCUGGCCAAAACUAGCCCAUACAGGAGUUCUGACCUUUUGUAGCCCAGGCCCAGAGGCCUGCACAGAAACAAAGAGGACGCGGUGUUUUGUGUGGAUCUAGGCUUGCUUUCCCUUUUAACAAACGUGACUAGUGAAUUUUCCCAAGCAUUGUUUUAAAUGUUGUCUUCAGUCCUUAGGCAGUUCUUCUGGCUUGAGUUCUACUCUUAGAAAAUCAGUUGCUGAUGUCUGAAUGCUGCAAAUGUGGUUUUUGGAAACAGAAAGCUAUAAGCAAUCAUGGCUUUUCAGAUGGCCUGGUACUUGUUUGGCAUUUAACACCAUUAAAAUUACCUAUAAAAGUAUAAAUGCAAAAUAGAACCCGAGACUCACUGCAAAGGCCAGCCAGCACGUGUUAUCUAUCCUAACGUGCUUCUCCAUCCCUGGCCACCAAGUGUGGUCUAAACUCCAGCUGGGGGCCAAGGACUCAGAAAUCCCUGUGCCCUGGCUAGCUCUGCUUCCACUCGGUCCCAGUUGUCCUUGUACAGUGCUUGCUUGUCAAUCCAUGGGCUUUCUUCUUUUUUCUUUUCUUCCCAUUAGUCAUUAGUGGUCAAACUCCAUCGAAAUAAAACCCACAUAGAUUUUCUUCCAUACAAACCCUUCAAUAUUCUCAGUGAUUCAGUCACUGUAUGUAAACUGAGUAAAUGCGUCACCAGACAAGUGCGCAGUGUAGUGUGCACACCGUUUGAUUUUGAUCCAGCUGUAAGAGGAAGGGAAUUAUUUACACUCACAAGAAAGUGGGUGGGACUGGAGGUCAUUGUCUUGAAUGAGACACAGACCUAGAAAGACAAAUAUGGCAUGAUUCUGGUGUGUGUGUGUGUGCGUGUGUGUAUGUGAGCGUGCAUGCAUGCCAAAUGUAGCAGAAUAUGAAUAAUGAGGAGGUAUGUAGGAAGAGAGAUGAAAACCUGUGGAAACACGUGUGGUUCUGUGGUAAGAAAACCAAAGGGAGGAAACAGAUCCUUAAGCAGGAGACGGAGGGUUGGCAUGGCAGGCAGUCCUGACAGGAGAGUGAAAACAACAAAGUACAGUGAUACACUCAUAAGAAAAGUCACUGUGAUACAGCAACAUACAGUGUUACACUCAUGAAAAAGUCACAGCGAUGCUGCUCAUGUCUGUGUGCCCCAGUGAAAACACAAGGAUCAUUCCUUCCUUGUACAUUUUUGUUCAACAACUAUUUUAUCUUGUCAGGGACUGCAGUGCAUCGAUGUUUCCAAAAUAUUUAUUUUUCAGGGUGCCGCUGCGUGCAAGAGUGGUGUGCACAGAUCUAUGAGAAACUGGACUAAAUUAGGGGGAGAAGAGGUUGUUCUGGAGUAGGACAUCAAGGGUAACAAGGUGACAAAGAGCCUCGGUAGUCCCCUGAAACCCUGCAGGAGCAGCAAACUGCUCAGGAGUCUGUCAACAGAGCCCUUGUGCUCUGUCCUUCCUCUGGCUCAAAAUUGUGGGUGGUGUUAUUUGGGAAAUGGGGUGAAAAGUGUAUUUUUGUGUUUGGCUACUAUUAGAGAAACUACUCUUUUUUUCUUUCUAAAAUUAAAACUAGCAAAGCUUCAAGAAAGCAAAAUCAAAUUGAAAGCAUUCCACUCUGAAGAAGAGGAAAUGAUCCAUCAUUAAGUUCUCACUGCACAUUAAAAACUGAUAAAAUUACAACUUUUAGGAUAAGGCAGCCUCACUUCCAUUCCCCGAGGAGAUCUCCAGCCAAGGAGUAGAGGCAGACACAUGAAGACAGCCACGUGUCUCUGUAGAAGCCAACACUUCCCCGAACAAUAAAAGCUAAACUCAAAGUGUUCUGAUUAUCUAAAUUUUAAUCUGAGGUCAUAUGUUUACUGUGUUAUU